rnacentral:lncRNA from 1 species
UUAACGUGGCGGUCGGCGCUGGGUGUGUCACUAAAGUUCCCUUUAGCGUCAUUACUAGGUCUGUGAGACGAGUGUAACUUUGAAUCAUCAGAACCGCUUAUUUCUCCCUGUAUGCUGCACUUAAAAGGAUGCUUGUUUUGAUGUCCUGCUCAUUGUUUUCCCUAUGAAGUAUCAGUAAUCCAUCCUAGAGGUGGUGUUCUUUUUAAGAAUUUGAGAAGGAAAACGUAGUUCCCAGCUACUUUUAUAUAAUGUGAGCAAACAAAAUAUUUGUUACAACACUUCAUUCAAAUUUAUUUAAUAUCAAGGUUGUACUCAGUUUAAUUCAUAUUUCCACUAUGUGAUUAUAAUAAUACCUUUUUUAUUUUACAAAUACUGUAUAAAGAAAGAAUGCAGGUUACUCUGUGGCAUAUUUCUGUAAUUUAGAAGUAAAGUAGCCUGAGUAUAGGGUUUAUUUCUAUUUUUGCCAUAACUCCUUUCACUGUAAUAACUAAGAUAUGCUAGUUGCAACUUUAAAGAAAUAGAAUAAACUAGAUUCAAUUGCAGUUCUUAUUUUCACCCUUAAUUUUUCUUAAUGAUAGACACUUUGUCAGUACAUCUUAGCAUGUCUCCCUUGAAUGACUACUCUUUUAAACUUUCAAAUCUGAGGAGAGCUAACAUAAUUAGGCUAGUGUCUCUCAUCAGUAAAAAGUCAUUCCAUUUUCAGCUGCAGCUGAAAAGGUUGAAUAGCACUUCUUUUUGUUUAAACCAAGGUUCAGUUAGAAAUUGUAUCUUGACAAGCUUAAAAUUAAAUCUGGUAAGUGUUGGUUUGAUCUUAGGCUUCUGUAUAGAUAGGGAUAGAUUUUCUUUAGCCUUGAAGGAGAUUAGUCAGUUAUAGUUGUAACUCAAUUGCUUUUCCUUAUUUUUCUAUUUAGCAUUUUUGUUAGUGUAUUUAAUCAUUUCCCUUUCUUUUCUUUUUUUUUUAAUUGCAGUUGUGCCUUUAAAUGGCUCCAGUGAAAAGUAAGAUGUAAAUGCAGAUAAUUACAGAACUUACAUACAAAGAGUGUGUAAGAGGGGAAGGGAGAGUGAGAAACUCAGGCUUCACAGAGGUGACACUUGAAUUGGGGUUAAGUUGAAGAACAGACAAACUUAGACACAAAGCUAUGCAAAAAUUGUGAUGAACAAGGAAAAAGUAAGUUUGGAAAGGAAAGCACAGGUCAGAUUAUAUUUAUUCUCAGGAUUUUGGACUUUUUUAUUAGGGAAAUUUAAACAAGGGGAAUGAUCUUAUAUUUGUAUUCUAGAAAGAUUACUCUGGCAGCAGCAGUAUGAAGGAUGGCUUGUA